GCCUGCAGUUGUGUGCGGUGUUGACAGGGUAAACAUGCAGGGGAAGGCUGGUCACCGCAUCUGUAAAUGUCAUGACCAGGUUGCUCUGCUGGUUCUAAAUUUUUCUGCUUGCAGCUAAAUUCAUGCCACAAAUAUCCAAGAGGAAAUAUAAAGGUGCAGAGGAAUGUUCGGGGGGAGCGUGAUUUCUUUUUAACAGCCUGUAAAUAGGUUACCACACUAGUUUGGGAAAACGCUGCGUACACAAAUAUCUGUGCACUGUUGAAAUUCAACAGCAUAAAUGUUGCUAUUGUUUAUGUUUGAACAGAAAGAGAAACAGAGCCGCUUUAUUUAUGGAUUCCCACACAGGCGCUAUUUAAGGAUUCAUAGUCUAAUGCUGUUCAUAGCAUUUUUUGUAUUCUGGCUGAGCACUAUGCAAACAUUAGCAAAAUGGAUUACAAUUUGACUGGCCUUACUGGGCAAACAUCUCGACCUUACUCUCGAUUGACUUAAUGGCUUUCUUAUGUUUAUAAAAACCCACUGCUGGAGGUUCAGUUACUGCUUUGAAAGGAGGCACAAGUGAUGACAGCCUGUUCUUUCCAGGUCCUAAUACACAACAAGCACACCAUAACUCUCGCCCCUACACCUUGCACCCUGUGGCAUCAGCUCAGAGCGUGCUUUAUGAUGGCCUCUGGGGAGACUGAAAGAUUGCAUGGACAUGCCUUAAUAUUUUGAAGGUCACCGCGUUGGCUCUGUGCUGCUGCGAAACCGACAUCAGACUCCACCUAAAUUACUGUACUGCAGCCGCAAACUUUGCAGCUCAAGAGAAGAGGAAAAAAACAAACACAAUAAAGAGAUCCUGUCAUGAG